GAGGGAGGGAGGGAUGGACCCGCCGCUUUCCCGGCUCCGGGGCUGGCCAAGCCCAAGACAAUGCAUCCUUCCAGUAACUCCUGUAAAAAUGCACAAGAGACCUUGAACAAAAGUAUGGCCUGAAGAAAGUUAAUGAAGUUGUUAAUAGUCUGUAUCACAAAUGAGAAGACUGUGGAUGAUUCUGGUUUCUUCCUUCAGGCCUUGAUGAGUCAUGAAAAUGAUAGAAAGCUAAUUUUUCUAAUGGAGCAGGUUCUGUAAGUAAAAGAAGAAGAAAAAUCAAGGGAAAAACUAAAAUACAGACAUCUGAUGAGAAGAGCUACUACUGGUGGUGACCAGUGUGUUGUAAGCUGGGAUUUUCCUGAAUCUUAAUGGAUGCUUGGACCUAAUUUACAGAGUCUUCCUUGUUAAUUAACUUUUUUAGAAAGGUCAAACCCUUUUUUUCCACUAAAGGUCAUGUACUUCAACUAAGAAAUCUUUUCUCAUCUGCAGAACAAUACAGCAACACAAAAUUCAGGUGUUUUUCAUUCUGAACAUAUUAAUGGAUCAUGAGCAAUAUGCAUGGAGUAUUUCACACCCCUUUGCCCUGUCCUCAGUAAAUAAUUCCUUUUUGUGUUUGUGUGUGUGAAUGAUCCCAGGGUUAUGCAGUUACCCAGCAGCAGGCUCAUCCCCUGGAGAUGGAGGUAAUUCCACAGAGAAGGAAAAUGACAUUCCAAAAACCCACAUGGAGCUGAGAAUUGUGAGAGAGAUGUGAGAAGAAUGCUCCUUGUGAAACAAGGGUGCCACAUUUAGAUAAAAACUGUGAUUUCAGUAUCAGAAAUGCUGUGAACAUUUCAGUUCAUUGGAAUGUUCUUUGGAUUAUGCAGCUUUAUUGCUUCUGAAAAUUGUACCUCCUGGUCAGUCAGGUCAAGUGGUACCUAAGGGCUCACAGGCCUUACAUCAAGCGCACCUAAAACAGGAAUGGCACUGCAGGAAUAUUGACAUUUUCAAAUCGUUCUUCCUAUUUAAAUAACAGCUGAAUGAACUGCCCCUUAAAAACCCAAAAAACCUAAAGAAAGAAAACAGGAAAUGCUUUUUUAUUGAGUUGGUGAACCUGCUCAGAAAUAUUGAAGAGACACAGGAAACUAGAGUGGUCACUGGACUUGCAAUAAUGUGGGGAGGAAAAACUACCAAUAUCCUAAUUGGGGAAUUUCUCUGACAGGAAACUAGGAUCCAUUCCACUUCAUGAUUUCUUCAUGCACACUACAUAAAAUAUUUUAUAAAACCUGAGUGAUUUCUGUAACAGAAUUUUUGGCAAUUUAAAGCAAAAAGUUUUGCUGUGACAGUUCCUACAAAUCUUUUAGCUUUGUUUUGUAUCAUAAAUAUGUCAAAAUGAAGCCAUUUCUGUCCAAACAAAAAUUUUCUAGGCUUUUAAAAAAUAUUUCUUAUUUGCCACAGUCAAGAUGAAGACUAAUUUCAAAUGCUGUAACUUAGAUCUGCAUAACCAUAAACCCACAAGGACAUAGCUUUAGUCUUAUAAAUAAGUAAUGUCAUUAGAUACAGUAUUCUUAUUUUAAUUGACUCUGUUUCCUACUCUGUAUAACAGUGAUUGAAAAAUAAAAGUCAUUUAACAUUGGUGAAA